rnacentral:rRNA from 1 species
AUAUCAGUCAUGCAUAGCAUAUCAAUAAGCGGAGGAAAAGAAACUAACAAGGAUUCCCUUAGUAACGGCGAGUGAAGCGGGAAGAGCUCAAAUUUGAAAUCUUCAAGGUCUUACCUUGACGAAUUGUAGUUUAAAGAAGUGUUUUCUGUUGAAGUUUUGGUAAAAGUUCUUUGGAAUAGGACAUCAUAGAGGGUGAGAAUCCCGUAUUUGACCAUUACUUUCAGCUUUGUGAUACACUUUCAAAGAGUCGGAUUGUUUGGGAAUGCAGUCCAAAAUGGGUGGUAAAUUUCAUCUAAAGCUAAAUAUUGGCGAGAGACCGAUAGCGAACAAGUACCGUGAGGGAAGGAUGAAAAGAACUUUGAAAAGAGAGUUAAACAGUACGUGAAAUUGUCAAAAGGGAAGCGUUUGACACCAGUGUUGUUUUCUCGAAAAUCAAUUAAAAAGAGUUGGAUUUUGUGUUGUAUUGACUUUAUCAGCUUUCUUCACUCUUUUCCAGCUUUUUUUAAUGCACUUUUCGUUUAACAAGUCAACAUCAGUUUCUUUUGUUGUAAAAAGGUCAUUGGAAGGUGGCUUUCUUUUCGGAGAAAGUGUUUAUAGCCUUUGACUCACGCAAUCGGAGAGACUGAGGUCUGCAGCGUAGAUCCUUCGGGGUUAGAUACAUUUGUGCUAAGUUAUAGCUUUUCAUAGACAACUUGUUGACUAUGUUUAGUCUUGUAGCUUACUCGCUUAUGCUAUUUUACCUACGCUUAGGAUGUUGAACUCUAUCACACACAG